CUUACAUCUUCACAUCGUGCCAUUCCUGUGAAAUAGGAUCAAACAUUUGUUCCUAAAUCAGGUUCCCCAAGGCGUCAGCUGGAGAGAAGGGAUUGAGGACAGGGGUCUCCUUGGGCUUUGUUGAUGCCAGGAGAAAUCUAGGGCAGUCCUGCUGAAGAUCAUGAGGGGGGUGAAAGCAUGAGCAAACGGGACCUGGUUUCUUCUUUACCAUCCCAUGGCGCAGCCAAGUUACCUUUUUCUGCAAGACUAACUGUUCCUUGGCCCCUGUCUCUGCUCUGCCCAGCUCCUACAGGAUGAACCUUAAUGAAUAAAUGGUUUGGGGAAGGAUUUUUAACUAUCCUAAAUCCAUGAUUCUUUGAGAGCUGCUGUGCAAGGCUCAGCCGCAUCGAUCUGCAAGCCCUGCUCUCCCUGAUGCCUGUUCUCCAGAUUUAAUUACUAGUGGUGCCCUGAGCACUUGUAAGUGGCAGCAAGCACAGAGGGCAGCGUACUGAUGACAUACAGUGCUCUACAUGGGUGUUGUGGGGGCAGAGCGUGGGAGCCCUGGUGCUGCUGCCAAGGAUGAUCUGACUGGCGGUUUGACCCAUAUUCACCUACUGCUUCAACCUUUUUGGAGUGAUUAAAGCUGAUGGUUAUUUCCAGGUCAACAGACAAGAGAGGAAGGUGCUGAGUUAAGCCUUUCAGCGUGUCCCUCCUGUGAGCAUGGAGAAGCACUGAAAGAUCUUUAAGGUGGCUCUGCGAGCACGCUGGCAAAGCAGUGUCUGGAGUGAUUCAGGAAGGAAAAGACUGAAGUAAGUAUAGCAGAUGAUUUGCAAAGGCAUACUGAGGAGAUGGUGUCUCUCCAGCAGGAAGCUGAGGCAGAGUUAGGAUGAGGGACUUAUUCCAGGUUGUAGUAGAAGAGACAGGAGAUGAUCCCAGAUGAUGCCUUCCAGUACAAGGAACCACUGGACAUUGAUAAGCUGAGAAUCUGAUGGUCACAACACUUGGCUUUUAGAUCUAGAAUUACAGAAUAUCCUGCAGAGUGCUGCAGAGUGAGAGAGACACAGAAGUGGAGCCCAGCCAUCCCCAGCAUACUUGCAAC
ensembl:lncRNA